GCCCCUGUAGUUCAACGGAUAGAACAGUAGCCUUCUAAGCUUCAAACAGAGGUUCGAUUCCUCUCGGGGGCACCA
rnacentral:tRNA from 1 species